rnacentral:lncRNA from 1 species
CGGGGGGCGGGCGCGCCCGCCCGCCCCGCCCCCCGCCCCGCCAGGCCGGGCCUGCUGUGUCGCUCGCUUUCUCUCCCCGAGCAAGUGUCGGAGAGUAGUCAUGGGGACUGUUCCACUUGCAGCAAUGUUGGGAUCAAUCAUCUGAGAAAAGAUCCUGGAGAGACGAGGCAACGUAUUUUCCAUUUCUGAUGUCAGGAUUUGUUCUGUGAAACUGACCUUUAAAGCAGCCUGAAAAUGAGGAACGUGGCACCAGAGAGCAGAUCAGGAAGCAUGAAAUGAUACGUGAACUUAGCACUAGAAUCUGGAAGAGUUCUCAGACAGUAACACAACUGGCCAGUGCAGAGCGUGAACAGAUGUUAAACCCUCCCUCAGCGCAGAUGAAAGGAACAGGGGAAUGGAGGUAAGUAAGACCAGCCACUGAAGGAAAGAUAUCGAUAGAGUUGCAAACGCAGGCAGCUAUGCAGUCACAGCCCGGGACUGAUGCGCUGCAGUGGAGAUUUUGGGGACUUGUCUAAGCUUCUGGAGAGGUGGUGAACAGGAAGCCCCAUGCAUGGAGACCUCCAGUGGGUUUAGCCCUCUCUCCCAGUUGCCUGUAUGGCCAGUCAUUCUGCUCCAAAGGGACAGUUUCAGCUGUCCAUCACAGGUUUCUCA